GACGAACGCUGGCGGCGUGCUUAACACAUGCAAGUCGAACGGAAAGGCCCUGCUUUUGUGGGGUGCUCGAGUGGCGAACGGGUGAGUAACACGUGAGUAACCUGCCCUUGACUUUGGGAUAACUUCAGGAAACUGGGGCUAAUACCGGAUAGGAGCUCCUGCUGCAUGGUGGGGGUUGGAAAGUUUCGGCGGUUGGGGAUGGACUCGCGGCUUAUCAGCUUGUUGGUGGGGUAGUGGCAUACCAAGGCUUUGACGGGUAGCCGGCCUGAGAGGGUGACCGGCCACAUUGGGACUGAGAUACGGACCAGACGCCUACGGGAGGCAGCAGUGGGGAAUAUUGCACAGUGGGAGGAAGCCUGAUGCAGAAACGCCGCGUGCGUGAUGACGGCCUUCGGGUUGUAAACCGCUUUCGCCUGUGACGAAGCGUUAGUGACGGUAAUGGGUAAAGAAGCACCGGCUAACUACGUG
rnacentral:rRNA from 1 species